rnacentral:rRNA from 1 species
CAGCCGCCACGGGAAUACGAAGGGUGCAAGCGUUAAUCGGAAUUACUGGGCGUAAAGCGUGCGUAGGCGGUUUGUUAAGUCUGUUGUGAAAUCCCCGGGCUCAACCUGGGAAUGGCAAUGGAUACUGGCAAGCUAGAGUGUGUCAGAGGAUGGUGGAAUUCCCGGUGUAGCGGUGAAAUGCGUAGAGAUCGGGAGGAACAUCAGUGGCGAAGGCGGCCAUCUGGGACAACACUGACGCUGAGGCACGAAAGCGUGGGGAGCAAACAGGAUUAGAUACCCCGGUAGUCCCUGUCUCUUAUAC